AUGUUGCCGGCGGCGGCGGCGGCGGCGCUGCCGCUGGACGACGACAACCUGCUCCCCGAGAUCCUCCUCCGCCUCCCGCCGCUCCCGUCCUCCCUCCCCCGCGCCUCCGCCGUCUGCACGCGCUGGCGCAGUCUCAUCUCCGACCCAGCCUUCUCCCGCCGCUUCCGCAUCCACCACCGCCGCAACGCUCCACUCCUCGGCUUCAUCCAGCCAUUUGACGUCGGCCCAUCCUUCGAGCCUACUCUGGAGGCCCCAGAUCGUGUUCCGCCCGGGCGCCUCUCCUUGCAGUCCGACCUCCACCACUUCCGGGUCCUCGGGUGCCGCCAUGGCCUUGUGUUAAUCCUCGACACGACGAGGUUCCAGUUGCUGGUAUGGGACCCCGUCACCGGCCACCAGCACCGCGUAUCCAUUCCCACGGGAUUCGCUUGGUUCGGGACAGUGAUCUGCGGGGCGGUGCUCCGCGCUACUCCCGGGGACGUCCACUUCCAGAUCGUCUUGGUAAGAGACGACCACGAGAUGGAAGAAUCCCGAGCGCUGGCCUGCGUUUACUCGUCGAUGACCGAGGCGUGGGGCAAUCUCAUCCUAACACCGAUUCCAUUCAGGACCAUGGUUUCUAUUGAUGUGUUGGGUGUGCUGGUUGGGCAUUCCCUUUACUGGAUGCUUUAUGGUACUUCGUCAAAUAUCCUCCAGUUUGAUUUGGAGAGGGAGAGCCUGGCCCUGAUACCGGUGCCAGUGAAUAAGUCUGAUUUUGAAGGCUUCAUACUCAUGCGGGCAGAGGAUGGUGAGCUGAGUUUACUCUCCUUGUCAGGCUUCACCGCCCAAUUAUGGAAGAGGAACAUCAGCUGUAACGGUGUUCCAUCGCGGGGGAUAGUAAGAACUGUUGAAUUGGACAAGCUACUUUCCCUGGAUUCAGAGGAGUACGUAACCACGCAUGGCUUUGCUGAGGAUAAUAAUUUGGUGGUCCUGCGGGUCGGUAUCGGCACCAUCUUCACUGUCCAGAUUGAGUCACUACAGUUCAGGAAAGUUACCGACAACAGCAAAUGGUACUAUUAUCCAUUUGAAAGUUUCUAUGCUGCAGAACAGAUUAUGAAACUUCAUCUUUUCCAUGAAUGGACAGUACAAAUCGGUUUGACUAAUGACAUCAAUUGCUCUACUGGUAUCUAG
rnacentral:rRNA from 1 species